AAUGGCGUCUUCUCCGCACUCUCUCCACUCUACCGUUCCCAAAAUCCCAAACCCUAACCCUAUCCCUCUCAAUCCACUCUCUCAUGACAAAUCUGCACACCUUACUUUCUCCCUCUCCUCCGUAGAUUCUUCUCUCCACGAACCCUAGCUUCCGUUCUCUUCUUCCUUCCGAUUGGUGGUGCAGUGCUCUCAGAAAAGGAAACUCCGUUAUUCGUUCCACGGAAGGCUCUGUGGUGGAGGAUCUUGGGGCGCCGGAGUCGUGGGAGGUCGCCGAUUUGGACGCUACAUGAGCCGAUUGAUGCUCUUCGAACAAGGAAUCCAAGCCCGAAUUCCCCGGUUCUACUUCUUCAGCUUCGGCUUCGGCUUCUUGGUUCGUCGGAUGAGAAGGUGGCUUCGGAGGAUGCCAUUAACCAGGUUGAUCAGUUCCUCCGCGAGGCAAUCCAAAACCCCGUGAGCGCCUUUCCAUCCUGAGGAUGGAACAAAAUGUUGAAAAUUUUAUCCGUGAUCCUACACAGCAGCAAUUCCAGUUCCAACAGCUGCCUACAUCCUAUUUAAGGUUGGCUGCACAUCGUAUCGCACAGCAUUAUUCAUUGCAGUCGAUGGUUUUAUUAGACAACAAUUUACCUGAUGGUUCUGUCUCCAGAAUCAUUGUUGUAAGACUUCUGAAUGUAGGCUUCCUCGUAUCCGCCUGGCAGACAUCCCUGUAAAUUUACCGUCAGAAGACCCUGGUGUUGUUAAGGUGGCAAUUAAACAGAGGCCACAAAAAGGUCUCAGCUUGUGAACAAUUCAAAUUCAAAUUCUAUGAAGUCAAAUAGCUCCAAAAGUGUGGAAGAAAGAAAAGAGGAGUAUAACCGAGCUCGAGCAAGGAUAUUUAACUCUAAUAGUUCUAGCAGUGUUCUAGUGCAAAACCACCAAGUGAACCUAGGCUGCAAGAUGUUUCCUACUAUGGUUCCUCAGGGAUGCCAAAUACGGAAAGAAAUCUGUUCAAUGGUUUCUGAUGUAAAUUCUGGUAGUGGUUGAUUGAUUACUCUUCAAGUAGUAGUAGGUCAGCUAGAAGUAGGAACAAACGCAUAAUAGGGUGGCCAUCUUUCGGGAUUGUGAGACUGAGCAAGGACCCUGAUUAUGACAGGAACUACGAUAGGUAUAUCCCACUUUUUAAUUUUUUCCCCACAUGGCAUUAUAUUUUCUGAUAUUGCAGGGAUUUGAAACAUAGCAGAAUUCAUGAAGAUAACAUUGAAAGUAUAUUGUAACUGGAAAGGAGUAACCGUUUUACUCAUGGAAUAAGCUUUAGAAUUGUCAAUUUUGAGGGGGCGGGUCUUGAUUGCGAGUCUCAUUUUCUAGGAGUAAAUGAUUCUUGAAUGUCAGGAAAACAAUUGUUAAAUCCCUGUUUUAAUAUUUGUUUCCUGCAGGGUAUUAUAUUUUCUGAUGUAUGCAGGGGUUUCAAACAUAGUUGGAUUCAUUGAAGUCAAUACCGACGGUUUUUGAUUUCUGAGUUUCGUUCUUUUCAUCUAUAGAUACACAUUCAUAUGUUUUGUUUUUGCUUCUCUACAUUGUUAUUGUCAAUCUUUAUUCUUUAAAUGUUUUUUUCUCUUAAUCCUUUCAUAAAUUCUCUUUUUGUUCAAAUCAACAUUCUUUUGAUUCAUUAUCAUCCUUUUUGUUUUUGAUACCUUUCUAUAUAUGUAUGACAAGUUGGUUUUGGUAUACUCAUUUCUUUGAAAAGGAAU